AACAGACCGAACUCAAGUGCCGGAGAAUGGGGUGGAAUCCGGCCGCGUAAGCGCCGCGUAAGACGGACCAAACGCCCCCGGGAGUCGCUCCGGGCCUGCCCAUAUGA
rnacentral:sRNA from 19 species